UGCAGUCUAGUCAAAUUCAGCCCCUGUUCCCUUUGUAGCAGAGGCUGGCCCAGAUGACUGCCAUAGCAAGCUCUGCAGCUCAUGGGCCCUGAGUCCCCUGCCCUGGGACAUGGGGUUAAGUUUGGCUGUGAACAUGG